UACGUAGGGUGCAAGCGUUAUCCGGAAUUAUUGGGCGUAAAGAGCUCGUAGGCGGUUUGUCGCGUCUGCUGUGAAAACUGGAGGCUCAACCUUCAGCUUGCAGUGGGUACGGGCAGACUAGAGUGCGGUAGGGGAGAUUGGAAUUCCUGGUGUAGCGGUGGAAUGCGCAGAUAUCAGGAGGAACACCGAUGGCGAAGGCAGAUCUCUGGGCCGUAACUGACGCUGAGGAGCGAAAGCAUGGGGAGCGAACAGG
rnacentral:rRNA from 1 species